CUACGGGCGGCUCCAGUGGGGAAUCUUAGACAAUGGGCGCAAGCCUGAUCUAGCCAUGCCGCGUGAGCGAUGAAGGCCUUAGGGUUGUAAAGCUCUUUCAGUGGGGAAGAUAAUGACUGUACCCACAGAAGAAGCCCCGGCUAACUCCGUGCCAGCAGCCGCGGUAAUACGGAGGGGGCUAGCGUUGUUCGGAAUUACUGGGCGUAAAGCGCACGUAGGCGGACUGGAAAGUCAGGGGUGAAAUCCCGGGGCUCAACCCCGGAACUGCCUUUGCAACUCCCGGUCUUGAGGUCGUGAGAGGUGAGUGGAAUUCCGAGUGUAGAGGUGAAAUUCGUAGAUAUUCGGAGGAACACCAGUGGCGAAGGCGGCUCACUGGCACGAUACUGACGCUGAGGUGCGAAAGCGUGGGGAGCAAGCAGGAUUAGAUACCCCGGUAGUC
rnacentral:rRNA from 1 species